rnacentral:lncRNA from 1 species
GGACAGAGAGACGCGGCAAAGGCAGGGCCGGGGAGGGGCCGUGUGGGGCCUGGUGGUCGGCAGAGGAAGGGUCUGUGCUCCUCCUGCGUGUGGUGGCACCGGAGCGCCUCCCAGUUCCUGGUGUUACCGCACCAGCCGCCUCCCAGUGAGCAUCUCCACGUGUGCCGACAACAGCUUUGUUGAGGUAGAACUUACCAGACUCACCUGUUAAAAGAGUGCAGUUUGGUCACUCUUAGUGGUUUGUAGAGUUGUGCAGCCGUCAUUGCAAUCCAGCGUUGCAGCAUUCCACAGCCCACAGGGACCCCCAGCCCCACAGUCCAGUGUUACAGCAUCCCGCAGCCCAGAGGGACCCUCAGCCCCAGACGGCCACUGACCGGCUUCCUGUCUUGGUUUGCCUUGUGCAGAAGGUGCGUGGAUGUGGGGCCACAGGACGUGGCUGGCUGGGUUUGCCUUGUGCAGAAGGUGCGUGGAUGUGGG